GCCCGAAUAGCUCAGUUGGUAGAGCAAGCGACUGAAAAUCGCUGUGUCGGUGGUUCGAAUCCGCCUUCGGGCACCA
rnacentral:tRNA from 3 species